GACAGAGGGUGCGAACGUUGUUCGGAAUUACUGGGCGUAAAGCGCGUGUAGGCGGCUCGGAAAGUCGGAUGUGAAAGCCCUGGGCUUAACCUAGGAAGUGCAUUCGAAACUCCCGAGCUUGAGUUCUGGAGAGGAAGGCGGAAUUCUCGGUGUAGAGGUGAAAUUCGUAGAUAUCGAGAGGAACACCGGUGGCGAAGGCGGCCUUCUGGACAGUGACGUGACGCUGAGACGCGAAAGCGUGGGGAGCAAACAGGG
rnacentral:rRNA from 1 species